ensembl:lncRNA
UUCAAAUGAAAACCCACCGGGCUUAAGGAGACUGACACAACCCAUUAGGAGAAUGACAUUUUUCUUCCUGAGAUAGUAUAUUGUCACUUGACAGAAAUUAAGAGAAGAAAUAAAAAAUGCAUUUUAUGUACUGUGGCAAUACAUUUGUAUUGGUGAAGUUUUAGUGGAAAUAUCAUAUCUCACAAAAAUAGAAUACAAUAACGGGUGAAAUUAUUUGCAGGCAUUGGAGCUAUUAAUAACGUGGACUCAGGUUGUCACCACUCUGGAAAAAAAGUCAAAGAUGAGAUAUUGCAUGAACGCAUUUGCAAGAGCUCUCCCUGUCCAUUUCCUCUCUCCAGGUAUGGAGUUUUCUGUGCAACGUGGAACUAGGAUGGAUCAGGCAGAAAUUGGAGCUGGAUAAGUUUUCAGUGGUACAGGCAUUGCAAGGUAUAAGCAGAAAAGCCACAGGAAGCCUAACACAGCAUGAAUGUUACUCGAUGAACCCUGACACGACAGUGGGAUGCUGGAGGACAAGGAUUUUAAGUCUUGAUUCUGUAAGUAAUGAGAAAAAGCAUGAAGAACAGUUCCAGGAGGGAAGGAGAAGGAAGACUGUACUGUGUAUUCUGCUCUGUUGUCCUUUCAUAUUGAUAGCCCAGCUUCCAAACUACUACUCCAGUUUUAUGGAACGUGGAUGUCCUGCCUACUAGGAAUAACUUCAGUUAUCUUCUGUUGAUGUCUGGAGAUGGGAACAGAUGCAAACAUAGAGAGAAACAGAUACUUCAGUGCCAGACCUGUGAGCUUGUGCUCUGCACUCCUGCAGACAAGAAUGCAUCCUAUGCUCAACACCCAACUCUUCACAAAAGAGUGAAACAGGCUGAGGGAAAAAGUGCAUUCCUUGGUCCUGCCCCUUAUUUCUGCUACCUUACUCUGCCCUGCCUUGCCCUGCUCAGCCAGGCUGCCAAGCGUUGACUCCCCAGAGUUGCUCAAGAAUGAUUGUAAAUAUAGAAGAAUAAAGAGCACUUCACUGAAACACAGUAGCAACCCUUCAGUUCUGUCCUAACCAGGUAUUUUUCCCUUGGAAUAGUGGCACUAGGGGAAUAAUAUCACAGUAUAGGAGUGAUGUGAAAAGGACAAAAUCAACCACUCCAGUAGACCCCCAUGCAAAGGAAAGACAUCGCUCUGGUUCACCUUGGCCUCUGGCUAGGAUUUCACCUCACCUUGUGGCUGGCAGGUUGCACAGCAUGCUGGAAAGCAAGCGCCAACCUAUGUAACAAUAUCUCUACUUCAGCAGCUGUUAAAUCAGUUUCCUCUGGAUGAGGAUGCCAGAACGGGACAGAAAAUCUGGGAGUUUUCUCCUCUUUGCUGGGCAGAGCACUUUCUCACUGCAGUAUGAUAAGGUUCCUGGCUGUCCUAAAGUCACUUUGUUGGGGAUCCACCAGCUUAAUACAGCUGAAAAGCCAAGCCAAAAGAGAGUCAUGCAUCCAGAUGAACAAACAGUGAAAAAUGUUUGUACCUGGGGGGAGAAAAUGAGGGGAGAGAGGGCUGGAUGUGCUCAAAGCCUUGAAUGUUUCUCUAAGCAAGAGUCACUAUUAUUCAUCCAUACCUCUGGGGCUGUGAACAAGGUCUCCUUCACCUCUGGAUUUUAUUCUCCUCUCUCUUCUCCUCUCCCCCACCCCAACAUGUUUGGCAUUUGGAAGUUUUGAAGUAAUUUCCUCCCUUGGCCUCACCUGGGAUCUCUGCUGUCCCAGAACCUCCUUCUGACCUCAGUGUUGUGUUUUCAUUUAAAGUAGGGGAUGUCUAUAAAUGUCAGCAGUACAGGGCAAUUAGAAGUUUGAAAAGGGCUGUAACAUAAACCAGCAUUAUAGUGAAAUGGAUACUGCCUUAAGCUGCCUGAAAUUCACUUGCUGUUGGAAAGACAAUAUCCUGCCAUUCUCCCAUGGUGGCCUUCAAUUGAACACAUUUGGCUGAGGGUUGACCCGUUAUUAGGAUAAGUCUCUGCAUGGCUUGAAACAAUGAAGAAACACAGAGAGAGAGAAGCCAGCAAAUUGGGCUGGUCGUUAGCCAGCACUGGGCAGAAAUGUGACACUGGAUUAGACCUUAAUAGCUGUCUGUGGUGCUAUCUGUGAAAUCCAAUGCUCUCCUUGUUUCCCUGCAUUGCAGGGCAUAAGCAUGUGGUUAGAUGUUAGGCAAAAUCCACCCCCACACUUUUUUUUCUUUUUUUUUUUUCACUAAUAG